rnacentral:rRNA from 1 species
GUUCUGGAGCAUUGCCCUUCGGGGCAUGAUUCUUCCACAGUGACACUUAUAGAAGCCUCUGCGCUCCUGCAAAGGAGUUCUGCCGCGACUCAAAAUAAUGGAGAGAUGCAAGUCAGCUCGAGCUGGCAACACAAUCGAAAUGCGGGGAUCUCCUAAAGCUCUGCGGUACCAACUGGUAGUGGAAACACUGCUGGGGCCCGUGUUAAUUACACGGGGUAUGGUAAAAACCCGCAGAGAUUAUGCAAUGGACAAUCCGCAGCAAAGCCCCUAACGGCCUAUUAAUGGUGCCCAUGGGGAAUGUUCACAGACUAAGUGAUUGUGGGUCAUAUCUUUGACGGUAUGGUUUAAGAUAUAGUCGGGUCCCUUCAGAGAUGUUGGGAGUAAGAUCACAAAACCGUUCCGUAGGUGAACCUGCGGAAGGAUCAUUACAGAGUCUCUGCCCUCACGGGUAGACCUCCAACCCUUUGUUUUUAUACCUUUGUUGCUUCGGCAGGCCGUCUAGGCUUCGGCCUAGCUAUGGGCUCCGGCUCGUAAGCGCCUGCCAGAAGACCAAUAAAUUCUGAAUAUUAGUGUCGUCUGAGUAAAAACUUAAUAAGUUAAAACUUUCAACAACGGAUCUCUUGGUUCUGGCAUCGAUGAAGAACGCAGCGAAAUGCGAUAAGUAAUGUGAAUUGCAGAAUUCAGUGAAUCAUCGAAUCUUUGAACGCACAUUGCGCCCUUUGGUAUUCCGAAGGGCAUGCCUGUUCGAGCGUCAUUUCAACCCUCAAGCUCUGCUUGGUAUUGGGCCUCGUCUUAAUGACGGGCCUUAAAAUCAGUGGCGGUGCCAUGUGGCUCUAAGCGUAGUAAUUUUCUCGCUAUAGACGUCUAGUGGAUACUUGCCAGCAACCCCCAAUUUUUUAUGGUUGACCUCGGAUCAGGUAGGGAUACCCGCUGAACUUAAGCAUAUCAAUAAGCGGAGGAAAAGAAACCAACAGGGAUUACCUCAGUAACGGCGAGUGAAGCGGUAACAGCUCAAAUUUGAAAUCUGCCUACAGGCCGAGUUGUAAUUUGUAGAAGAUGCUUCGGGUGUGGCUCCGGUCUAAGUUCCUUGGAACAGGACGUCAUAGAGGGUGAGAAUCCCGUAUGUGACUGGUUGCCUAUGCUCAUGUGAAGCUCUUUCAACGAGUCGAGUUGUUUGGGAAUGCAGCUCAAAAUGGGUGGUAUAUUUCAUCUAAAGCUAAAUAUUGGCCAGAGACCGAUAGCGCACAAGUAGAGUGAUCGAAAGAUGAAAAGCACUUUGGAAAGAGAGUUAAACAGUACGUGAAAUUGUUGAAAGGGAAGCGCUUGCAACCAGACUUGCACGUUGUCGAUCAUCCGAUGUUCUCACCGGUGCACUCGAUUUCGUUCAGGCCAGCAUCGGUUUUGGUGGUUAGAUAAAGGCCUUAGGAAUGUGGCUCUUUCGGGAGUGUUAUAGCCUAGGGUGCAAUGUAGCCUACCGGGACCGAGGACCGCGCU